UACGUAGGGGUCUAGCGUUGUCCGGAAUUAUUGGGCGUAAAGAGCUCGUAGGCGGCGCGGUAAGUCGGGUGUGAAAUCUCGGGCUUAACUCCGAAACUGCAUUCGAUACUGCCGUGCUUGAGGACUGGAGAGGAGACUGGAAUUUACGGUGUAGCGGUGAAAUGCGUAGAUAUCGUAAGGAAGACCAGUGGCGAAGGCGGGUCUCUGGACAGUUCCUGACGCUGAGGCACGAAGGCCAGGGGAGCAAACGGG
rnacentral:rRNA from 1 species